ensembl:lncRNA
CUUUCGUUGCACAUCGAUGUCAGACUCUGAUUCACCUUCCAUCGCCAAGUAGCCUUUACACAGGACCUGUAAAAGCCCAUUCAGAAUGUUACUUGAUACUUGACUACUGUGUGACUAGAAUACAGACAAAGGAAAUUAUAAUGUCCAAUAAUACAACACAGAUGUGAAUACUUUUCAAAUAUGAGACACAAUGUGAUUGCCUAAUCCCUCCCAACCACGCACAUGCAGACAGACAGAAUUUGUUACUGGACCCCAACUGCACCCCUUCCUGCACUUUCUGACACAUGACACCCCACAUUGAGAGAAGCCAGCACCUUCCAAGAAGCCCAGUCACUGUAGCGGUGGUGGGGAGGAUCCACACCCACCAGUGUCCUAGGGGACGGAGGCAAGCGAAGGGUUGAAGGAAGGAGAUUUUAAUAUAAACAAAAAGGAAAACAAAAAUGAGCGGUGUGCGCUACAGAAUACACCAUUUGAAAGGACACAAGAACAUGAAACGUCACACUACAACAAUGACCUACAGGAACGGAGAGAAAAUGGCUGAACUAAGACAUGGACUAACAAUGUGAACAGAAACAGGUGGGGGCUAAACACAGGUGAAAGGAAUAAACCAAUUAACUGAAACGAGAACUGGAAAGACCAAACAAGAACAAGUCAAACCAAGGACACAAAGAAAACAUGGAGCGGUAUUGCCCGGUUGGCUGGAACCGUCACAUUUACAGAUAUUAUUUCACCUAUAAUUCACUAUAUCACAAUUCCAACUGUUUUUCAAAAGGAUAUAUAAAAACAGGGGGCACCAGGAGGGCAUUUUCCGCCAAAUAAAAAAAUACAAGCGUACAAAAAGAAAAAUACCAAACAUUUUCGCCAAGUGAAUAGGCUAUGAAAAAGGUGUUAAUUCAAACUCUAGUGCACAGGUCCAGACUUGUAGUUUUAUCACAUGCAUUGUUUGUCCAUGAAUAAGCUAUAGAAAAACCGAGAGAAGUUUUUGGAAAAAUACAACAUCCUUUUUUCCAUGUAAAUAGACUACAAAAAUGCCCUUGCGGAUCUACAAACCCCAUUCCAAAAAAGUUGGGACACUGUACAACUGUGAAUAAAAACAGAAUGCAAUGAUGUGGAAGUUUCAAAUUUCAAUAUUUUA